rnacentral:rRNA from 1 species
CCAGACUCCUACGGGAGGCAGCAGUGGGGGAUAUUGCACAAUGGGGGAAACCCUGAUGCAGCGACGCCGCGUGAGUGAAGAAGUAUUUCGGUAUGUAAAGCUCUAUCAGCAGGGAAGAAAAUGACAGUACCUGACCAAGAAGCCCCGGCUAACUACGUGCCAGCAGCCGCGGUAAUACGUAGGGGGCAAGCGUUAUCCGGAUUUACUGGGUGUAAAGGGAGCGUAGACGGUUAUGUAAGUCUGGAGUGAAAGCCCGGGGCCCAACCCCGGGACUGCUUUGGAAACUGUGUAACUUGAGUGCAGGAGAGGUAAGCGGAAUUCCUAGUGUAGCGGUGAAAUGCGUAGAUAUUAGGAGGAACACCAGUGGCGAAGGCGGCUUGCUGGACCAUAACUGACGUUGAGGCUCGAAAGCGUGGGGAGCGAACAGGAUUAGAUACCCGCGUACA